UUUAGAGAAAAACGGAUGGUUCGUGAUAAUUUUUAUGAACGACGUAGUUGUUUCUUUUCCUUCAAAAUAUUGAAUAAGCAGGAAGUCCUCCCUAUUGGACUCAAGUAGGAGGGAAUUUAAAGUCCCGUAGCUCAGUUGGUUAGAGCACUACACUGAUAAUGUAGGGGUCAGCAGUUCAAAUCUGCUCGGGACUACUAGACUUUUUUAGAGAAGUUUAAGUAUACUGGGGGAUUAGCUCAGCUGGCUAGAGCACCUGCCUUGCACGCAGGGGGUCAUCGGUUCGACUCCGAUAUCCUCCACGUAAAAAGUUCAUUGACAUAUUGGAAUUGAUUGAAGUAGUAAACAAAUAGAGAAAAAAACUAAUAAGUUUGA
rnacentral:tRNA from 1 species